GCAGUGGUGGUUCAGUGGUAGAAUCCUUGCCUUCCAUGUGGGAGAACGGGGUUCGAUUCCAGGCCGGUGCA
rnacentral:tRNA from 1 species